rnacentral:rRNA from 1 species
UACGUAGGGGGCAAGCGUUGUCCGGAUUUAUUGGGCGUAAAGAGCGUGUAGGCGGCUUUGCAGGUCCGCUGUGAAACUCGAGGCUCAACCUCGAGCUGUCGGUGGAAACCGUAAAGCUAGAGUCCGGAAGAGGAGAGUGGGAAUUCCCGGUGUAGCGGUGAAAUGCGCAGAUAUCGGGAAGAACACCCGUGGCGAAGGCGGCUCUCUGGGACGGUACUGACGCUGAGACGCGAAAAGCGUGGGGGAGCGAACAGG